UUUUGUUUAAGAGAGUUGCAUACUGCAGUAUUUAUACCGGUAACUGCAGUCUGUAAACUACCCAUGCACGACGUUAACCAUAAUUAUUAUCCUUCGCUGUCUCUACUCUACCGGUAGAUGUUAGAGUUCCCUGUUGAAACAGAAAAUUGGAUUACCGAUUUCAAAACAAGACGGAAACCGAAGGCCAGCCCUCACUUAUUUUUGUAAGCUGAGAUUUGACGAGUUCCUCGGACUACGUAUUGCUGAUCUUUACUUUUGUGACGACAUCCGGCGUAUAAGAAAGUGGAAUGGAGCGUUUAGCAGUCGGCAAUAUCAUCACGGGAACAGCAACCUACGUGUUACAGUGGAUUGAAGUGUGCAUGGUCAUUUAUUGGUUCGACGGCCCGUUCGCGCAGUACGCGACACUCAGUAAUCGGACAGUGUCGACAUCAGUUCUUCUAUGGGUCACCGGAAUCCUGUUCCUCAUGUACGCUAGAGUCAAUCACAUCUGUCAAUCCUCGGCGCCGCACCUAACCGAAAGCUUUCGAAAUUUCACCCGCACAGCUUUGAUUGUCGUGUUCAUCGCGAGUGGCACGGGCAUUGUCGGAUUCGUGGGUGAAUACCAGCUUUCAAGACAGUUAGCGUGUGGCAACAACGGUGCAUCGGGAACUUUUCGGCUGGUGAUAAACGUAAUGAUUGGUUCCAUGUGGCUCGGCAAUGGUAUCCUUUCGACGAUUGGCAGCGUUGUUCUGCUCAUACAAACCUUUUGUGAACAACAACGUGCCGCGAUAGGAGAAAACGGCCAAAGAAUUGUCAUGGUUACCGCAUAUCGGGAAGCGGAUACGGAAGCAUUUUGCACGAUUGAUGACCUUAACACUGGCCAGGAUUUUGACGCUACACGCAUCAAGGAAGAGGGGGAGUGCCGCCGUGAAAGGGUCUGCCGCUACUCGACUUCAACAGAGAACCACGAAUCGGGGGAAGUGCACUUACAGGACGAAGACGCCACCGAGACGCUAUCGAUUCUUCCAAAACCUGCCUGAGUACCCACUGCCCACUGGUCGAACUGCAGUCACUGACCGGAAGACACCAGAAAUCGUCCGGUAUUCACCGCGUUUUAUGAAGUAUUGUCCCCAUUCUCCCGUCUUUCGUCCCAUCAAAUACUUUGUUCGAUAACGGACGCUUGCUAACUGGACCUUAUGGAAAGUUUAAAAAUUCUAGUUUUUCAUAGUACAAUUUCUGCUCAUAUGUAGACAUUCCUACAUGUAAUCGUUAUUCUUCACAAAAAACACGUAGAAGUAUUCAAUAAAAUAAAGCUCCUUACAAGCGUUAUUAAUUUAGAGUAAAUACAUCGUUGCAGUGCGCACAUUUUUGAACCUCGUUAUACUCUGUACGAGUAUACCGUGUAUGUCAUAAUUUGUGAAUUUUUCUGAGUACAGUACCUUGUAAAAUAUUGUAUUUCCGUCUUCAUGUUCUUCAUAUUUCCGUCCUUCAGAACAUUUCGUCGAAAUUAGCGUACUUUGUAAAAAAAAAUUGUACUUACUUACUGUGCUUGUAAAAGCGGUUCGUAUUUUGAACAUCAGGCAUAUCGAAAACCACAAUUUUCAUAUAAUAAUUAUUCUACAAUGUCUGACAAUGAGUAAUCGCGUACAUUAUCGCAGUUUUGCCGCAUUCCAUGCAACUAUUUUACGAGAUAACUCUGAAUAAGUUUGCUGUUUGUUUUUACUAGAAAACGCUCCAGACGCCCGAUUCAUCAUGGUACAAUCUUAGCCCAGCUGAAAAAAUAGGAGCAAAGAAACUUAUGUAUAUCGAGUACGUAUACACAAUGGAGUCACGGUAGACAUGUUCAAGUAAUACAGUACGGCUACACUGCAUCGACAAAGCUUUUGUUGAAUUCAAACAGUCAGAAGUAUGCUUGGCUGCCUUGGCACACAGAUUAGUAAGCACUAGCAUGCUUAGCACAGCUCCAACAUACCUUGGCCAUAAUAAUAUUGUGCACUUUGGUCAUACCGAUACAUAUGGUCCCUUUUGUAACAUGGUUCCGGUAGUCCCUAACAUUAAAAAUUUAAAAUUAACCCUUGUCGCGUAAGAGUCGAUGCGAAUACUGUCACGCUGUCUGCUUGUUGUAUGGAGCAGCCACCCGGCAUUUUUUUAGCCUUCGCCAAUAUUGUCACGGGAUCGUUAACCUACGCUUUAGGAUUGGUUGGAGUUUGCAGUAAGCAUGGUUAAUUCUUUUUCUUUUCGGCUUAUGCCCAGAUUUUUUUGGUGUACGUAUAUUACGAAUAAUGAUGAUGCUUGUUGGCCGAAACUGUCAAAUCUGAAAAAUCUAAACCUUUGCAAAAUCAUUUAUUAAUUAGGUAAUCAUUAAUGAUACUAAAUCAAACUGAUAUCUUCAAUAAUUAACUAUUGUCCAUAAGAAGUCUACAGUACGGGAUGUACGGCAUAUUCCUGGUUAAUGUUUUUGGAAAACAUGUUGUGUUGCUUAACCAUGCAGUGUCGACUUCUUGAUCCGAGCUGCUCUCCCAUUCCGUGGUGCUCUGUAAUCUGACGGCGCCGACAUCGGGUCAUAUAUGGGUUACCGGAUUCCUGCUACAUCUGUACGUCCGACUGAACCAUGUCUACCAGUCCUGUGUGCCGCAUCCAACCGUAAGCACCGUCAACAUCACUCGUGCAGUUUUGUUUGUCGUGUUUCACGCGAAUAUCGCUGCCUUUGGUGGUUCCAUGGGUGAAUAGCUGAUUGCCGUGGGAGCACAUAACGGAAACUGCACAUUGUACCCCUGGUCCCCUGAAAUAAUGUUAACGAUGCAUCGGAAGGUCAUCGCCUGCGUACGUGGUAGUGAUUCAUGCAGCACUCGGAUGUCUGUGGUUCGGCAAUGCUGUCUUCUCAACGGCUGGCAGAGUGUUUCUCUUCAUUCGAACCUUUUCUCAACAACAAC